ACCUGGCUGGCUCAGUGGGUACAGCAUGCAACUCCUGAUCUCAGGGUUGUGGGUUCGAGCCCCACACUGGGUG
rnacentral:tRNA from 1 species